CCUGCCAGUAGUCAUAUGCUUGUCUCAAAGACUAAGCCAUGCAUGUCCAAGUAUGAACGCUUCGUACUGUGAAACUGCGAAUGGCUCAUUAAAUCAGUUAUAGUUUAUUUGAUGGUUGCUUGCUACAUGGAUAACCGUGGUAAUUCUAGAGCUAAUACAUGCACAGAGUCCCGACUUCCGGGAGGGACGUAUUUAUUAGAUCCAAAACCAGCGCGGGUGUCCCUUCGGGGUGCCCGGUCCCUGGGCGAUUCAUGAUAACUGCUCGAAUCGCACGGCCCUGGCGCCGGCGAUGGUCCAUUCAAAUUUCUGAGCUAUCAACUUUCGAUGGUACGGUAGUGGCCUACCAUGGUUGCAACGGGUGACGGAGAAUUAUCUUUCGAUUCCGGAGAGGGAGCCUGAGAAACGGCUACCACAUCCAAGGAAGGCAGCAGGCGCGCAAAUUACCCAAUCCCGACUCGGGGAGGUAGUGACAAUAAAUAACAAUGCCGGGCUCUCGUACUAUGGCAAUUGGAAUGAGUCCAAUCUAAACCCCUUAACGAGGAACAAUUGGAGGGCAAGUCUGGUGCCAGCAGCCGCGGUAAUUCCAGCUCCAAUAGCGUAUAUUAAAGUUGUUGCAGUUAAAAAGCUCGUAGUUGGAUUUCGGGGCGGCCCGGCCGGUCCGCCGCGAGGCGAGCACUGGUCGGGCGCCCUUCCUCUCGAAGGCUUCGACUGCUCUUGAUUGCGGUGGAGCUGAGUUCGGGACGUUUACUUUGAAAAAAUCUAGGGUGUUCAAGGCAGGCCGUCGCCUGAAUACAUUAGCAUGGAAUAAUGGAAGAGGACCUCGGUCCUAUUUUGUUGGUUUCCAGGGCCGAAGUAAUGUAAAAGAGGGACAGUUGGGGGCAUUCGUAUUCAAUUGUCAGAGGUGAAAUUCUCGGAUUUAUGGAAGACGAACAAGUGCGAAAGCAUUUGCCAAGGAUGUUUUCAUUAAUCAAGAACGAAAGUUGGGGGUUCGAAGACGAUCAGAUACCGUCGUAGUCCCAACCAUAAACUAUGCCGACUAGGGAUCGGCGG
rnacentral:rRNA from 1 species